GACGAACGCUGGCGGCGUGCUUAACACAUGCAAGUCGAACGAUGAAGAAAAGAAUCGAAGCUUCGGCAGAAAUUCAUUUCGGAUUAGUGGCAGACGGGUGAGUAACGCGUGAGCAACCUACCUCUUACAAAGGGAUAGCCUCGGGAAAACGGGAUUAAUACCAUAUAACAUUGCGACGAAGCAUUUCGAUGCAAUCAAAGCUACGGCGGUAAGAGAUGGGCUCGCGUCCCAUUAACCGGAUGGUGAGGUAACGGCUCACCAUAGUGACGCUGGGUAACCGGCCUGAGAGGGUGAACGGUCACACUGGAACUGAGACACGGUCGAGACUCCUACGGGAGGGAGCAGUAGGGAAUAUUGCACAAGGGAGGGAACUCUGAUGCGGCGACGCCGCGUGAGUGAUGAAGGAAUUCGUUUCGUAAAACUCUGUUCUAUGGGAAGAAAAGGACUGUACCAGAGGAGAAAGCGCCGGCUAAAUACGUG
rnacentral:rRNA from 1 species